CCUACGGGGGGCUGCAGUGGGGAAUAUUGGACAAUGGGCGAAAGCCUGAUCCAGCCAUGCCGCGUGUGUGAAGAAGGCCUUCGGGUUGUAAAGCACUUUCAGUGGGGAAGAAAGCCUUGGGGCUAAUACCCUCGAGGAAGGACAUCACCCACAGAAGAAGCACCGGCUAACUCCGUGCCAGCAGCCGCGGUAAUACGGAGGGUGCGAGCGUUAAUCGGAAUUACUGGGCGUAAAGCGCGCGUAGGCGGUCUGAUAAGCCGGUUGUGAAAGCCCCGGGCUCAACCUGGGAACGGCAUCCGGAACUGUCAGGCUAGAGUGCAGGAGAGGAAGGUAGAAUUCCCGGUGUAGCGGUGAAAUGCGUAGAGAGCGGGAGGAAUACCAGUGGCGAAGGCGGCCUUCUGGACUGACACUGACGCUGAGGUGCGAAAGCGUGGGUAGCAAACAGGAUUAGAUACCCGGGUAGUC
rnacentral:rRNA from 1 species